GUCCACGCUGUAAACGAUGAGAACUAGAUGUUGGUAGGCCUAGCCUAUUAGUAUCGAAGCUAACGCGAUAAGUUCUCCGCCUGGGGAGUACGGCCGCAAGGUUAAAACUCAAAGGAAUUGACGGGGGCCCGCACAAGCGGUGGAGCAUGUGGUUUAAUUCGAUGCAACGCGAAGAACCUUACCUACCCUUGACAUCCACGGAAUCCUGCAGAGAUGCGGGAGUGCAGAAAGGAACCGUGAGACAGGUGCUGCAUGGCUGUCGU
rnacentral:rRNA from 1 species